rnacentral:tRNA from 1 species
GGGCAUAAUGCAUGUUGGUGCGGUUCAUUCUGCAAAAAUGAGUAGGGUUGUUUAAGCCUAUGCCUU